rnacentral:rRNA from 1 species
GAUCCUGGCUCAGGACGAACGCUGGCGGCGCGCCUAACGCAUGCAAGUCGAACGAGCGAGAGAGAGCUUGCUUUCUCAAGCGAGUGGCGAACGGGUGAGUAACGCGUGAGGAACCUGCCUCAAAGAGGGGGACAACAGCUGGAAACGACUGCUAAUACCGCAUAAGCCCACGACCCGGCAUCGGGUAGAGGGAAAAGGAGCAAUCCGCUUUGAGAUGGCCUCGCGUCCGAUUAG